rnacentral:rRNA from 1 species
CACGUAGGGCGCAAGCGUUGUCCGGAAUUAUUGGGCGUAAAGAGCUCGUAGGCGGACUGUCACGUCUGCUGUGAAAAGCUGGGGCUUAACCCUGGCCUUGCAGUGGAUACGGGCAGACUAGAGGUAGGUAGGGGAGAAUGGAAUUCCCGGUGUAGCGGUGGAAUGCGCAGAUAUCAGGAGGAACACCGGUGGCGAAGGCGGGUCUCUGGGCCGAUACUGACGCUGGAGGAGCGAAAGCGUGGGGAGCGAACAGG